AAAAAACACUAGUAUUUAUAAAUCCUUCCCCUGUCCCCUUGAUCCCACUUUUACAGGGAUGGUGUAUGUAAGAGUUAGCAAGAUGUUCCCUAUUCAAGUUCCAAAGGUAAAGGCUCUUUUGCCCCAGGACAGAAGCGAGAGAAUCCGAAGAGCAUCCUGGGGGUACUGACUAGAAAACAGCUAGUUUAGCCAGUGGAAUGGGAUAGGGAAGAAGAGAAUAGAAAUACUAUUAGACUUGUUCUUGUAGAAGCAAAAUCCUCACUGUUCUUCAUAACAUAGGAAUUAUGUAUUUUUCUAGCCUAUAAUUCUCAAACAUAAAUUUGAUGUGUUACUUUCACUAAGAACCGGCUUAUUUCCUGGUGAUCGUCAGCUAUAUUUACAUACACAUGAGCAGAAUUAGAAAAAUAUAAAAUAAUUUGAGACUCAAGUAAAAAUAAGAUAGCCCAUUUUCUCUUAUUUUUUCUAUAGACAAUAUAUACUAUUGUCAUUUUCUUUUUAUUGCCUUAAAUUCAGCUAUAACAGGCCAAUAGAUCAAUAAAUGUCAUUUUCUUAUUUGACU
rnacentral:lncRNA from 1 species